CCUACGGGGGGCAGCAGUAGGGAAUCUUUCACAAUGGGCGAAAGCCUGAUGGAGCAACGCCGCGUGCAGGAUGAAGGCUUUCGGGUUGUAAACUGCUUUUAUAAGCGAGAAAUAUGAUGGUAACUUAUGAAUAAGGAUCGGCUAACUACGUGCCAGCAGCCGCGGUCAUACGUAGGUUCCGAGCAUUAUCCGGAGUGACUGGGUGUAAAGAGUUGCGUAGGUGGCGUAAUAAGUAGCUAGGGAAAUCUGGUGGCUAAACCAUUCAGACUAUUAGCUAAACUGUUAAGCUCGAGACCGUUAGGGGUAAGUGGAAUUUCUGGUGGAGGAGUAAAAUCCGUAGAUAUUAGGAGGAAUACUAAUAGCGUAGGCAGGUUGCUGGGACGGUUCUGACACUAAGGCACGAAAGCGUAGGGAGCAAACGGGAUUAGAUACCCGAGUAGUC
rnacentral:rRNA from 1 species